rnacentral:rRNA from 1 species
AAGUCGUAACAAGGUUUCCGUAGGUGAACCUGCGGAAGGAUCAUUAUCGAGUUAGGGUCUCCAGGCCCGACCUCCAACCCUGUGUCUACACCGACCACGUUGCUUCGGCGAGCCCGUCCCCCCCGGGGGACCGCCGGCAGGUGUCACCUCGCCUGCUGGCCCGCGUUCGUCGGUGGCCCCCUCCCACAAACUCUUGAUGAAACGUGUCGUCUGAGUCUCGUGAUUUAUAAACAAUCAAAAACAAAACUUUCAACAACGGAUCUCUUGGUUCUGGCAUCGAUGAAGAACGCAGCGAAAUGCGAUAAGUAAUGCGAAUUGCAGAAUUUCAGUGAGUCAUCGAAUCUUUGAACGCACAUUGCGCCCUCUGGCAUUCCGGAGGGCAUGCCUGUUCGAGCGUCAUUAUCACCCCUCAAGCCUGGCUUGCAGUUGGACCCCCCUGGCGGCCGCGUGCGGCCCCCGGUCCCAAAGACAAUGACGGCGUCCGUGGGACUCUCGGUGCAACGAGCUCUACCGGGCACGCAGCGAGUCGAAAAGUCCCCCGGCACGGUCUUGACCUCGUGUUCUUUUUUGGACACAUCUCAGGUUGACCUCGGAUCAGGUAGGAAUACCCGCUGAACUUAA